UUGUUAUUGGCCGCACUUCUGCACAAUCCACGUGCGUUAACUGAACAAAAGCAGCUGCUUGCAGUCGGGAUAAAGACGCCUCUAGCUCCUGGGCCAGACGAGGUCUCUCGAGAUCGUCAACCAGGUGCUUGGAGAGGUGGAGCCCGUUCUAAAUCUAAAGGCAAUCAAGCGGAUAAAUCCUUGGGACUACGAGCGCCACCCAAGAAGGUUCUGAGCUGCCUUAGCUCUGCGAAAUACAUCUCCGCUGUCACUCCAGUUUCCCUUCUUUCGUCCGAUUGAGCGGUAUCAUUUUCUGCGCCGUUGUUUUCUUACGGUAAUUCACUUGUGAAUGGUAAACGAUUAUCUUCACGAACUACCAGUGAACUCGACGCUCUACUUCAGAUACACACGACACGUUAGGUUUUCUAAAUUUUUCUGGUCUUGCCCGGUAACGUGGAACUGGAGUCUACCUCAUUGGAACGAGAGUGCUCUAAUUUGUUUUGAACACGCAGAAUGGAUCCAAUAAGCUUGAAAGCUUUCACAGUUGGCGUUUUGCACCAUUGAUUGAAUAGAUUCUUUAGUACAAUCAGCAAUUGAUUUUAGACACUUUUUUUUCAUUGAUAGUUUCCGUAUGAAUUUUAAUGAAUGACUAUUAAAGAAGUCUGCUAUAA
rnacentral:lncRNA from 1 species